AAUUACUUUCCAGUAAACAUUUGUGAAUGUUGUUACAUGUAUUUAUGGAUUGGUGAAUCUGCAUUUGCAAAUCGUCACACGUGUGUGGAUUGCUUUGAAUUUGUGUGUGGUAUUUUUGAGACUGUCCUGGCACGCUGAGAUUCAAGCGUAACUUUUUUUUAAGGAUGGCCUGUUCAGCCAAUCGCGUUGAGCUUUUGAUCCACCAAUCAAAACGCUCCUUACUGAAGUGACUCGAGAAGCUCGACGCUGCACAGUUCUGUGCAGUGUGCCUGCAUCGGUUCAAAAACAGAGAGGGACGCAAGAGCACACUCAACAAGAGCUGAUAGAAAAGUCUAAGCAAGAGAUUUUCCUGUAGUCAUGCAGUCUCAAGUUUCAGUUGUGCAGGAUGGCUAAUGAGUGGAGUGAUGAAUUUUCUGGUAGAGUGAUGCAGUUUCUCAGUGGGGUCGUUGGACUGGUGGAGUUGCUGGAGCUGGUGGGGUGGUUUGAUGAUUAGCC